AAUUUAUUUCUCUUCCCCCUGUAGCAGAAACUGGCUUGUCUCAUCUUUAAUAAAUCAGAAUCAGGUAUUAUCUUGCUGCUGCUACACCUGAUUAUAUGAAAUUUCACCUUUUAUAAUUCAUAUCAACUAUUUUCACAUAUGCAAAUUCUGAUAAUAAGAAUUAAUCCAAAAUGAUAGUCCUAGAAUCAUGACAUACCUCCUUGCACAUGGGUCGGCGUAGCAGACAGGCGAGAGAGAAUGCCAGGUGCAUCGUACGAGUGUUUCCUCCCAAGGUUUCUUCAGUAGGGCAAUGAGGAUGGCAUCUUGCUCGUGCUUCCUCUUUGCUCAUGGUGAAAGUGUCGGCUAUGGGCCAGAGUGCCCUGGGCAAAUCCAGAUGCAUUUGAUAAUGUAUCAAUCAAUCUUUUAUGCAAGUCACAAGAUGUAGCCUCGCCAGUCUAGGGCCUAGAUCCACCCCAAUUUACACUAGUAUAAGAAGUAGUGCCAAAAAAAGGGAGUAGAUGAUAAUAAAAAUGCAAUGGUAGUGAACACAACUACUACAAAUAUCUUCCAUCAACAUAUAUUGAGUCUAAUUAUUACAUUUGUGAUUGUCCGUCCCUAUAACAUGUAUUGCACAUAGCAUUUAUAUACUCAUCUCAUGACAGUUUGGCAUUUGUCUGUCCAAGAAGUGCAUGCAUAUGAAGUGUUGCACUGUUACUGGUAUGUAUUGUCCAAAAUACCAUAAUCUUGGUGUGUAUGUGCAAAAUACCAUAAUUUCAGGAAGAAAAAACAUUCCUAGCAUGCUUGUGCAACUCCGUACCGAGGAAGAAUGAUAAGGCUAAAACAAAUGAAUUGUGUCCUAUUGAUGUGAGCAAAAAUAGUUAAGCCUCUAGUGCUAUGACUGGUAUACCAAUUGGCUAUUUUAUACAUUUGUGUCGUAAUAUAUUGUUUUGUGUUAUUUCUGCAUGUUGGCAUUCGUUAUGCCAACCAAGUUCAGAUAGCAGUUCUUUAGUUGGGUUUGGCACUCCGAGUAGGAGAUGAACUAUACACUGCAUUUGAAGUCCAUCUGCAUCUGUUACCGAAUGAAUAAAAUGUGACAGUGGAUGUUCAGCUUUUUAUAUUUCCCCCGCUAAUUAUGAAGCUAGGUGGUCAUUAUGGCACGGCUCUCAGUUAUAUAAGGAUGAACUGCAAAAUAUUAUCACACAUAUACCUUCUACAUUUCUGUCCAAUAAGCUUGUUUUCCGAAUCAAGAUGAGUAUUAGAACUCUGCGACAAAAAAAUUAUUUCUCCUCUAGUUGGUAGAAGAAACUGGCUUGUUUCAUACUGUAUUAAAUAAAUCAAAAUCGGCCAUUAUCUUGCUGCUGCUACACUUGAUUAUAUGAAAUUUUACCUUCUACAAUUCAAAUAAUAUAUUUUUCACACAUUCAAUUCUGAUAAUUAAUAUUAAACCAAAAUGAUAGCCCUAGAAGGCUAGAAUCAUGACAUACCUUCCUUGCACACGGGUCGGCGUAGCAGAUAGGCGAGAGGGAAUACCAGGUUUCCUGCAAAGGUUUCUUCACUAGGGCGACGAGGAUGGGAUCUCACUCAGGCUUCCUCACCUAUUUGCUCAUGGAGAAUGUGGGGCCAGAGUGCCCUAGGCAUAAUCCAGAUGGAAUCGAUGAUGUACAAUCAGUCUUUUCUGCAAGUGGUAGGCACACAAAAAAAGGAGUACUCCCUCCGUCCCAUAAUAUAAGAACGUUUUUUACACUACACUAGUGUCAGUAGAUGAUAACACGUUGGUAGCGAACAUAACUGCUAAAAACAUCUGCCUUCAUUCACUCUACUUGCCUACCGGCAUGAUCUCUAGUACGAUGUGAGCCUUGAGGCUUCCAAUGCUAAAAUUUGGAACUGAAAACUUGGAACUUUUCAGUAGUUUCAGAGUUGAUCUGCUCCCUGUUGACUCUGUUGUUCUGAUGAAGUGAGGUGCUUGGUUGCAACCUCGGCCUGGCUCCCCCACCCGACAUGCCUUGCUCCCUGGUACAAGGGGGGAAAUGAAGACAUUAUAUCGCAGUAACAAAGAAGUGUGCAGGGAAGAAUUGCUUGAUUACUUAUAAGGUAGAGUUUCAUGGCCAAAAUAAGUUGGUGGCAGCAUAAUGAGCAGACUCACCAGUCUCAUCUACACCCUGAUAGAGGGCAAAAGAAGAUACACAAACAUCACAAAAGGGACGGAAAUUCACCAAAACAACCGGGUCUGUCUAACGGAUUGAGAAAAGAAGAGAGAUUUACUGGCGCACCAACAUGAACCAUACAGUGAGAAAGAUUCAAUCUUUAUCGGCCAGACAAACGAGGUGACACUCGUGGGGUGGGAAAAAACCUAAAUAAGUAGUAGAUUCAGGAGAUUGAGACAAAGGCCGAGGAAAUUUGCAAGAUCCAGCAGGCGAAUUGCAGUCCGUGGGGGAGGCCAGGAAAUUCACUCACCAAUCACAACAGGCAAAUUCAUCAUCUGCUAAGAUUGAGGAGCAAGACAAAUUGACACCCAUCACAACUCCGUAGACCGAGAUGUGGCCAAAGGAGAUGUCCAUGGCGGCUUAGGGUUGGUGCGGAUGGCCAAAGGAGUUGUGCAUGGCGGCUAGGGUUGGUGCGGAUUGGGACUCAGCAACAGGGAGGGGAAAACACAAGAAGAAACGAACUAUG
rnacentral:lncRNA from 1 species